UGUCCGAUGGUGUAACUGGCAACACGCCUGAUUUUGAUUCAGGAAAGUCCAGGUUCGAGCCCUGGUCGGACAACGA
rnacentral:tRNA from 2 species